UCAGAUGAGACUGCCGGUGACAAACCGGAGGAAGGUGGGGACGACGUCAAGUCAUCAUGGCCCUUAUGUCCUGGGCUACACACGUGCUACAAUGGCCGGUACAGAGCGCAGCGAGGCCGCGAGGCGGAGCGAAUCGCUUAAAGCCGGUCCCAGUACGGAUUGGAGUCUGCAACCCGACUCCAUGAAGUUGGAAUCGCUAGUAAUCGCGCAUCAGCAUGGCGCGGUGAAUACGUUCCCGGGCCUU
rnacentral:rRNA from 1 species